rnacentral:rRNA from 1 species
UGCAGUCGCAACGAGACGGAUUAUGGCUUGCUUUAAUUGUCAGCUAAGUGGCGCACGGGCGAGUAAUAUAUAGGUAACAUGCCUUCGAGAAGGGGAUAACGUUUGGAAACGGACGCUAAUACCCUAUAUGCCUUUAAGUCUUAAGACUGCAAGGGAAAUAUUUAUAGCUCGAAGAUUGGCCUGCACAGUAUCAGUUAGUUGGUGAGGUAAUGGCUCACCAAGACAAUGACGCUUAACUGGUUUGAGAGGAUGAUCAGUCACACUGGAACUGAGACACGGUCCAGACUCCUACGGGAGGCAGCAGUGGGGAAUAUUGCACAAUGGACGAAAGUCUGAUGCAGCAACGCCGCGUGGAGGAUGACACAUUUCGGUGCGUAAACUCCUUUUAUAUAGGAAGAUAAUGACGGUACUAUAUGAAUAAGCACCGGCUAACUCCGUGCCAGCAGCCGCGGUAAUACGGAGGGUGCAAGCGUUACUCGGAAUCACUGGGCGUAAAGAGAAUGUAGGCGGAUAGAUAAGUUUGAAGUGAAAUCCAAUGGCUCAACCAUUGAGCUGCUUUGAAAACUGUUUACCUAGAAUAUGGGAGAGGUAGAUGGAAUUUCUGGUGUAGGGGUAAAAUCCGUAGAGAUCGGAAGGAAUACCGAUUGCGAAGGCGAUCUACUGGAACAUUAUUGACGCUGAGAU